rnacentral:rRNA from 1 species
UACGUAGGAUGCAAGCGUUGUCCGGAAUUAUUGGGCGUAAAGAGCGCGCAGGCGGUUUUUCAAGUCAGAUGUGAAAUAUCCGGGCUUAACCCGGAGGGGUCAUUUGAAACUGAGGAACUAGAGUACAGCAGAGGAUAGCGGAAUUCCCGGUGUAGUGGUGAAAUGCGUAGAUAUCGGGAGGAACACCAGUGGCGAAGGCGGCUAUCUGGGCUGAAACUGACGCUGAGGCGCGAAGGCUAGGGGAGCAAACAGG